GAUGAACGCUGGCGGCGUGCCUAAUACAUGCAAGUCGAGCGAACAGACGAGGAGCUUGCUCCUCUGACGUUAGCGUCGGACGGGUGAGUAACACGUGGAUAACCUACCUAUAAGACUGGGAUAACUUCGGGAAACCGGAGCUAAUACCGGAUAAUAUAUUGAACCGCAUGGUUCAAUAGUUAUAGACGGUUUUGCUGUCACUUAUAGAUGGAUCCGCGCCGCAUUAGCUAGUUGGUAAGGUAACGGCUUACCAAGGCAACGAUGCGUAGCCGACCUGAGAGGGUGAUCGGCCACACUGGAACUGAGACACGGUCCAGACUCCUACGGGAGGCAGCAGUAGGGAAUCUUCCGCAAUGGGCGAAAGCCUGACGGAGCAACGCCGCGUGAGUGAUGAAGGUCUUCGGAUCGUAAAACUCUGUUAUUAGGGAAGAACAAAUGUGUAAGUAACUAUGCACGUCUUGACGGUACCUAAUCAGAAAGCCACGGCUAACUACGUG
rnacentral:rRNA from 1 species